UGACCCAUUUGGGUCACCUAGCCAACUGACGUUGUUAGUGAAUAUCAUAUUCACAUUCUGACAGCCAAUAGACUCAAUGCUAUUGGCUUUUUUUUA
rnacentral:sRNA from 1 species